UGUCUCAGUUCGGAUUGGAGUCUGCAACCCGACUCCAUGAAGCUGGAUUCGCUAGUAAUCGCGCAUCAGCCACGGCGCGGUGAAUACGUUCCCGGGCCUUGUACACACCGCCCGUCAAGCCAUGGAAGCCGGGGGUGCCUGAAGUGCGCUGCCGCAAGGAGCGUCCUAGGGUAAAACCGGUGACUGGGGCUAAGUCGUAACAAGGUAAC
rnacentral:rRNA from 1 species